rnacentral:rRNA from 2 species
CAGCCGCCGCGGUAAAACCAGCACCUCAAGUGGUCAGGAUGAUUAUUGGGCCUAAAGCAUCCGUAGCCGGCUCUGUAAGUUUUCGGUUAAAUCUGUAUGCUCAACAUACAGGCUGCCGGGAAUACUGCAGAGCUAGGGAGUGGGAGAGGUAGACGGUACUCGGUAGGAAGGGGUAAAAUCCUUUGAUCUAUCGAUGACCACCUGUGGCGAAGGCGGUCUACCAGAACACGUCCGACGGUGAGGGAUGAAAGCUGGGGGAGCAAACCGGAUUAGAUACCCGGGUAGUCCCAGCUGUAAACUAUGCAAACUCAGUGAUGCAUUGGCUUAUGGCCAAUGCAGUGCUGCAGGGAAGCCGUUAAGUUUGCCGCCUGGGAAGUACGUACGCAAGUAUGAAACUUAAAGGAAUUGGCGGGGGAGCAC